rnacentral:rRNA from 1 species
UACGGAGGGGGUUAGCGUUGUUCGGAAUGACUGGGCGUAAAGCGCGCGUAGGCGGAUCGGCAAGUCGGGGGUGAAAUCCCGGGGCUCAACCCCGGAAUGGCCUUCGAGACUGCCGGUCUUGAGUUCGAGAGAGGUGGGUGGAAUUCCGAGUGUAGAGGUGAAAUUCGUAGAUAUUCGGAGGAACACCAGUGGCGAAGGCGGCCCACUGGCUCGACACUGACGCUGAGGUGCGAAAGCGUGGGGAGCAAACAGGAUUAGAUACCCUAGUAGUCC